GAAAGGAGGCAACUUAAGGUAUACUAACACGGUUGUAAGUUUUAAUGAGAUUGGGAAGUGUGGCAGAUCAUGAUGCCUUAUCAGAAUUUAUAAUACUUUUUAAAAUUAGCUUCCCAUAGUGAAAGGAAUUCAAAUAGAAGCCCCAGACAGAAGUCCCCUUAACCUAAAGUCUCCAGAUGGGCCUGAUGAAGGUGUUGGAACCUUUCAGGAACUGGAAGCUGCAUCCACAGAAGACCCGAGAUUGUCCAGGAUUAUACAACCAGUAGGUGAGAAAGCUCGCUUUGCAUCUCUGGUUGUAAGAACACCGUGAGAAGAUGGAAAUCUAUGAAACAGGAAGUGAGCCCUCCCCAGACACCAAAUUUGCUGUGCCUUGAUCUUGGACUUUCCAACCUCCAAAACUGUGAGAAAUAAAUGUCUGCUGUUUAUAAGCUA